GUGGGGAAUAUUGGACAAUGGGCGCAAGCCUGAUCCAGCCAUGCCGCGUGAGUGAUGAAGGCCUUAGGGUUGUAAAGCUCUUUUGCCGGGGACGAUAAUGACGGUACCCGGAGAAUAAGUCCCGGCUAACUUCGUGCCAGCAGCCGCGGUAAUACGAAGGGGACUAGCGUUGUUCGGAAUCACUGGGCGUAAAGCGCACGUAGGCGGAUAUGUCAGUCAGGGGUGAAAUCCCGGGGCUCAACCUCGGAACUGCCCUUGAUACAGCAUGUCUUGAGUCCGAUAGAGGUGGGUGGAAUUCCUAGUGUAGAGGUGAAAUUCGUAGAUAUUAGGAAGAACACCGGUGGCGAAGGCGGCCCACUGGAUCGGUACUGACGCUGAGGUGCGAAAGCGUGGGGAGCAAACAGGAUUAGAAACCCUUGUAGUCC
rnacentral:rRNA from 1 species